rnacentral:rRNA from 1 species
GAUGAACGCUGGCGGCGUGCCUAAUACAUGCAAGUCGAGCGCGAUCAUGAGGAGCUUGCUCCUCAUGAUCGAGCGGCGGACGGGUGAGUAACACGUAGGCAACCUACCCUUGAGAUUGGGAUAACUACCGGAAACGGUAGCUAAUACCGGAUACGACUUUUCCACAUAAGUGGAAUGGUUAAAAGGCGGAUUUAUCUGCCGCUCAUGGAUGGGCCUGCGGUGCAUUAGCUAGUUGGUGAGGUAGUGGCUCACCAAGGCGACGAUGCAUAGCCGACCUGAGAGGGUGAUCGGCCACACUGGGACUGAGACACGGCCCAGACUCCUACGGGAGGCAGCAGUAGGGAAUCUUCCGCAAUGGACGAAAGUCUGACGGAGCAACGCCACGUGAGUGAUGAAGGGUUUCGGCUCGUAAAACUCUGUUGUUAAGGAAGAACACUUGAGAUAGUAACUGGCCUUGAGAUGACGGUACUUAACCAGAAAGCCACGGCUAACUACGUGCCAGCAGCCGCCGUAA